rnacentral:rRNA from 1 species
CCUGGGAACUGCGUUNUGAACUGGGUGACUAGAGUGUGUCAGAGGGAGGUAGAAUUCCACGUGUAGCAGUGAAAUGCGUAGAGAUGUGGAGGAAUACCGAUGGCGAAGGCAGCCUCCUGGGAUAACACUGACGUUCAUGCUNGAAAGCGUGGGUAGCAAACAGGAUUAGAUACCCUGGUAGUNCACGCCCUAAACGAUGUCAAUUAGCUGUUGGGCAACUUGAUUGCUUAGUAGCGUAGCUAACGCGUGAAAUUGACCGCCUGGGGAGUACGGACGCAAGAUUAAAACUCAAAGGAAUUGACGGGGACCCGCACAAGCGGUGGAUGAUGUGGAUUAAUUCGAUGCAACGCGAAGAACCUUACCCGGUCUUGACAUGUACGGAAUCCUCCAGAGACGGAGGAGUGCCUUCGGGAGCCGUAACACAGGUGCUGCAUGGCUGUCGUCAGCUCGUGUCGUGAGAUGUUGGGUUAAGUCCCGCAACGAGCGCAACCCUUGUCAUUAGUUGCCAUCAUUUAGUUGGGCACUCUAAUGAGACUGCCGGUGACAAGCCGGAGGAAGGUGGGGAUGACGUCAAGUCCUCAUGGCCCUUAUGACCAGGGCUUCACACGUCAUACAAUGGUCGGUACAGAGGGUAGCCAAGCCGCGAGGUGGAGCCAAUCUCACAAAACCGAUCGUAG